CGAGCAUUUUACAUGGCGGAGAUUGCAGCGAGCCACUGGAACAGGGAGGUUCCGAAUCCGGCAACGGCUCCGACGUGGAUUGCUAAGUUCUUCGCUGCGGCGGUUAGGUCGUUGAAAUCGGAAGCGAUCAGUGCGGUGCUUGCUCCGUCGAUCUUCAUAGCUAAGUAGCUCUGUCUCGCCAUUGUUUCAGCUCUCUCUAAGAGUAAAGGAUUUCCUCUACAGAGAUAUUAAUAGUAGUUUUAAUUACUCUGGAUAAGUGAUGGUUAAGCAAAUGAGUUGACUUGUUGACUGAGUGCAUUAUUUGUGUAGGCCACGUGAGCGCUUGCUGGCGAAACACGACUUGUAGAUGUUCGACACGUGGCCAAUAAUUCUAUUAUUGGAUAUUAUUUUAUUUUUGUUUGAGCUGUUAAGUUUUGGAUUCAGUGAGCUGGGACGUCUAAUGAAGUACAGCUGCCGACAUUAAUCAUUACAAGAAUCAAAUUAUAUGAAUGUCGAGAAAAAAUAUCUUAAUAAGCUGCGGUGAUGGGAAAGCGAGGCUCGCGCUCUGCUGGCCGCAAUGAGGUGGGUGUCGGAUGCUGGCUAUAAGAAUGUGGUGGUUGAAACGGACGCUAAAGAGGUCGUGGAUCGGCUGACAGGCUUGGAGAACUUGGCGAUAUCUUGACCCAACGUCGCACGAUCCUGAUGAGGGUUGUGUCUUUCCGGAUAUCGUUUGUUAGGAGGUGCAGGAACAAUGGUGGCACACAACGGCUUACAAUGUACGCUUGAGCGAUAUGUAUGUUCGUAAUUCGUUAGUCAACAAUCAAUUCGAGUCACAGACUCGGACUCCGACAAGCAGGUUUUUCUGGCAAAGGUCGGGGCUCUAGCUUUUAAGCCGAGAGAAAGACACGAACGAGAGCGCGUACGGCAGAACAACAACAUCGUCAAAUUUGAUAACAUUGUUGUCCAAAGCCAUUGGUUUUGAUUGAAUCGCAGAAAAGGAACACAAAAACAAACACUGAUGAAGAACUCAGAAACUGAAGAAAUCACAGUUUUCGUCUCUCUCAGAGAAUGCUUCUGAUCAAAGAGUAGGCAGGGUAAACAAAGAGGAGACAAAUUCCGAUGGUGUUGGAGAUUCCUGCUUCUUUGGUGAAGGCGUUCUUGAACCCGCCGGAGGCUCUGAUGUGUUCUUGCAGCAAGUAGCAGGCGAUUCCGAGGCAUAUCGCUACUCCGAUCCAGUUCCCUCUAGCGUAGCCGGCAAUCAACUCUGGCGCCACCACUAUUAGCAGGAUCGACGAAGCCGGCAUCUCUAGCCAUUCUGUACCAAAAAAAUUCCAACAACUUGAAAAAGCUUUAACAUUCAUGACAUAUAAAGGGCGAAAUGUCAAGUUUUUGAAUCCCAAUAAUUCCUAAUCCUCAACACUUAUAGACUUAAAGGUGUAAAAAAUUAUUGGAUCCCAACAACUCAAAAAUUUUCGAUCAAGGGUUUAUACCCUGUUUUUAUAUUAUUUAUUAACAUGCAUCUUUAACUUUCAAUGUGAGAUUUCCACGAUUUUGUUUAAGUUAUAUCCACAUAUUGAAGAUUAUCCGUAUUUGAAACAGAGGUCUCUUGCUCAUUAAAAACUCUAAUACCAUGUCAAAACAAUAACAUUUUAAUAACUAAUUCGAUUAGUUGAAAAAUAGUUUAGAAUGAUUUUAGAUUAUUCGCUAGCACCCCUCCUCCUCAAAGGGAAGGAUACAAGGGUUGGAGUUUUGCAUAAUUCCGAUAAAUUUUGUGCAAUAAAUUUUGGAUUGCCGGAAUUCGAACGAUAAUCUUUUGUUACACAAAAUGUCUGAUACCACAUCAUGAACAAUAUUUCUUCGACAAAAAGUUUUGCAAACCUUAUACCCUUCCCAAAACUUCGGUUUACGCCAGACUCUAUAAUCUCACCUGCGAAUUGGCUGGGGAAGAACAGGCGAACCACAAUAGCGACGAGCGCAGCCCAUUUCCCAAUCUCCCCUCUGUAAACAAAAAUCCAGAUAAAAAAUGGUUCAAUGAACAUUCAAUUCAUCAGUUUGAAAUCCAAUCAAGCAAAGAUUUGACCUAAUCAUAACUAUACCGGAGGAAACCGAAGAGGAACUGAGGCAAGGUGAAGAAGAUGUAAGGGAUGAGUAACCCUGUGAGAAUGUUAGUCUUCCAAUUCGUCCGAUCCAGUAUCAGUAGAUAUCUGUUACACAUACAGAACGAUCCAAUUCCACUCAAAUCGACGAUAUAAUAACAAAAACUGAAAAGAGAUUAGGGUUUCGAGCGAGCAUUUUACAUGGCGGAGAUUGCAGCGAGCCACUGGAACAGGGAGGUGCCGAAUCCGGCGACGGCUCCGACGUGGAUUGCCAAGUUCUUCGCUGCAGUGGCUAGCUCGUUGAAAUCUGAAGCGAUCAGUGCGUUGCUUGCUCCGUCGAUCUUCAUCGCUAAGUAGCUCUGUUUCGCCAUUGUUGUUUCAGCUCAAAAGGUUGGUUUUCGAAUUUUGAGUGAAGGGUUUCGUUUGCAGAGAUAUUAAUAGGAGGCUCGGAAAAGAUUAGUUUAAGUGAUGGUUAAGUAAAACCGUUGACUUCUUGACUGACGCUGCAUUAAGAUAAUAUUAUUUACUGUUUGUGUAUGGACACGUGGGCGCUUGCUGGCCGAGUGCGGCGUAUAGUUGAUGGACACGUGGCAGAAGCGAAUCUGUCGUCUGUGUUUUACAGUAUAGCUUGGGUGCUGAUUCCAUUACAAUCGGCACCCGCUGAUUCCUAGAUCCAACGGUUGAUGAUGGGUCCGACCAGAUCUAACAGUCAAAUAUGUCCAGCUUAUUUUUUUUGUUUUUUCUCUUUCCGGUUUUAGUUGGUUUUAAAUUGAGUUUUGGGUUACGAUUUUGGGUUUUUGGGUUUGUUUUAGGUAAAAAAAUCAUAUUCGGUUCGAUUUUAAUUUUGGGCGUUGGGUGUUGGGUCAAACUCAAAAUUUAAAAUUCAAAUUGUAAACCUAAUACUUUAGAUCCUAAACCUUAAACCGUAAACCAAACUCAAAACUCAAACUCAAAAUUUAAAAUUCAUUUUGAAAAUCUAAUACUCCAGACCCUAAAACUUAAACUCUAAACAAAACCCUAAAUCUUAAAACCCAAAACUUAAUCUAAAAUCAACUCGAACUGAAAAGAUACGGUAGGUAAAAAAAUGAAAAGAAAAACAAAUUGGACACAUUUGACCGUUGGAUCCUGAUAGAUCCAUCACCGACCGUUGGAUCAAGGAAUCAGCAGGUGCUGAUUAUAAUGGAAUCAUCAUCCAAGAAGAAUUGUGUGUUUUAUCCGCAUAUUUCAAUUAUAGGAUAUUAUUUUGCUUUAUUUAUGCUGUUUCCAAUUUUUGGCAGCUUGCAAUUCUAUUAAAUUGUUAUUUUGUUUUUUAAGUAUUGGAUUAAGUGAGCUGGCAGUUUUUUGAAAUACAGCUGCCGACAUCAAGCAUUGUAAAAAAUCGAAUUAUAUGGAAAAAUCUUAAUAAAAUGUUAGUAAAUUCAUUUUUGUAAGUUGCGACAUGUAAUUUAGACCUAAAGGAAGUAGAUACGAGAGAGUACAAUUAUAUAUUUGAUGAUAUCGUGAAUAGGUGACGGAUUAAAAAAUGCUCUUCGAUUAGUGUUUGGAGCUAUUAAAAAAGAAAUGGGAGAUCGAAAAUCGUACAAUUUGGUUUCUUAACGAACACUGAACACGAUAUGCAAUCGCAAUGUACAAUACAUUUACGUCUUUUUUAAUUCAUUAUUAUUGUUAAACAUCAUUAAUAGUAUAUGGGAAGAACGAUUAUUUUGUAUUAACAACAUUAAUAUUGACAAUCUUACUGAAACAAACAUUAAUGACAUUAGGUGGCCGACAUGUACAAGAUAUUUCUUUAUCGCUUUGAUGAAUCUAAAGUAAGCUGCCGACAUCAAAACUUUUCUACCCACACAAAUUACAUGGGCCCACUCUAAGAACAUAUUACAUGGGCCUGCAUACGGUUUUGGGCUACAUCCAAUCACCAUACAAAGGAAUAGCAAUAUGGUCAUCUAUUUCGAAUUUAAAAAAUCUGGUCUAGUGUAUUAAACCUGUUUGGAUUGCGUUGUUAGGAGAUCUUGAGAUAAGUGUUGUUUUUAAAUCAAUCAUCUUUGAGAAUCGAAUAUAUAAGUGUAUUGUAUAAAAUCUAAUCAUUAACUAUCUCAACCAACUGCGGCAUGUGACGGAUCCAAAAUCACUAAUUAACGAUUCCUCAUACACAAAGUUUCGACUCGAAAGAACAAUUUAAUAACAGGGAACCGCUGCUGCCUGCUUCACAAGAGUCAUGGCAUAAAUCAGAUGGGUAACAAGAAGCUGUCAGCUCAGUGGUUCCACCAAUCCGCAUACAAUAAGGAAAACCAUCUCGGUAUUGAAUUUGGGUUUAUGGGCCUUUUGCCUUUCUUUUUUGCUUCGUGGAUAAGUACAUCAAUCUUUGGCCCAUCAAUGAAAAGCCUUGUUUCAGGGGAAUGGGCUCCACUGGCAACUUUUUGUUCUUUUAUAGACAGCCCAUACAAGUUUUCUUUCACACUCGAGUCAUAUAUGGAUUGGCUCUCGUUUUUAACUCACCAUCUCGAUUUUCCGGUUAGGUGGUUCAAGAGCGAGAUUACAUAAUUGAUCGAGGUUGAGCUCUAACGCUACUCGUCAAGGGUGCUAAUGACCCCAAGUCGAGAUUGACUACUUAAAAAAUUGUUAGCGAGCCAAAUUCGACACUGUCUUUAACAACUCAAACUCUAGCCAAGACUCAUUAUCCGAGCUAAACUAAACCUAGAAAGUAAUAGCAUAAAACCGAAUUUAAUAAUCGUGCAAAGAGAAAAGAAAACUGAACUCUAGAGGCAGCUAAGAUAUAUACUGCCUUAGCUUCAACGCAAACGGCUAGAGCGGGUGAACACGGUAGCUUCCAGCCCUUUCGCCAAUCACUUGUCUAUGUGAAUUAAUAAUGACAACCUCAUAUCUCGUCACAAGAGAUAUUUGGUCGAAUGAUCCUUAGCAGUAAGCACUUUGUCGACUCGUUGCUAUAACUAACAUAUACCUACACGAUUGUUUGCAAUCCAAGUAGCUUUCAUAGUUUAGUUUGUCGGAACUCCCGUUUAGUAAGCGGGAGGUAUUGAUUUCAGCUCUCAAUGGAAGCAAAAUUUCAAACAUUUUUUAUUUAUUUCGACAAUCUUAUGAAUAUUUAUGAAUUCCGAAUAUCAUAAUUACUUUUCAUGUAUACUAAUAUUAGAAAUCAUAAUGUUCAACAGAUUUAUUAUGGAUCAUUAAUGAUUGAUCUUGUAGCUUUCUUCUGUCCCACUUGCUAUUAGGUUAUCAGUAAAUAGUUGACUUUUUAACAAAAUACGUAUGUUUCUUUGUUGACUUAUAUUCCACAUACGUUCACGAAAGUCUUCCAGAUAUAACUAUGCAUGAGACAAAGACAAGAAAAAUGAACAGUACUAACAGUUGUUCCUAAUAGGAUUGAGAUUAUUGAUUAACAAAUAUAUCGCUUGGAUUAAACAAAUUGCGACACAAAUCAAGAAUUUCACCACGUACGUCGACAAAUAUGGAAUCUAUUAAUUUAAAGAACGUAUAUCACACUACAUUGCCAGUAGAGAUUGACUUACCUACCUAUUGAUAUAGUUAAUUAUUAAGGAUAUAUGUAUAGUUAAUUAAUACAGAAACUUGUCGGCACUUUCGGUGGCCAGAUUUUGCUAAUUUAGUUUUGUCGAAUUUGUCACGUAUCUCGUACGAACAGAUUCACCAAACACUCAUAAUUACCAUAUGUGGCAACAACUUAAUUAAUUUAUCAUAAUACUCAAAGCCCCGUUAUUAAAAGAGGACAUUAUCUUAAAAUAAUAUAAAGUAAUAGUAAUAGUAAUAAUGGCUUUUUCAUUAUUCUUUUGGCAAAUAAGUUUUCCAAUGAAAAAUAAUAAUAAAAAAUAGAAUGUUUUAUAUUCAUGGUAAAUAAGGAUUAAUUUAAUACUAUUGGGCCUCUUUGAUUCAUGAAUGAGUUUGAUUUCAAUCAAACAUGAUCGAGUUAUUUUGAAAGAUUACUUUUUUUCUAAUGUUUUUAAUGGUUAAUUUGAUUUCUUGUAGGCCAAUUUUUUUUAUAAGUCUGAAUGUUAUCAAGACUUGGAGUUUGGCACUGUAAUGUUCAUAGACUAACCAACAAAUUUUAAAUUUUAUUUAUGUCAUUUUAUGACCNNNNNNNNNNNNNNNNNNNNNNNNNNNCAUUCUAAUAAAUUAAAAAUUAUCUAAAUUUAAAAGGGAGACCUCUCGAUUUUUUAAUUUUAUAAUAUGAUCAAAUCAAUCACAAUAGUUCAAAUUAUUGAAAGAGAAUCAUCAAAUUGGUUUUUAUAAAGUGUUCAUGAUUAAAACUUUCGUUUUCAAAGUUAUCAGAUAAAUAAUUAAAUUAAACUCUUGGCUUUGACACGUAAUCUGUAUAAUUAAACACACUUACCUACCAUGAGAUCUCCUUGUUCGUUCACUCUUUAUCUUCUCGUUUGAAAUUUGUACCACAGAUUAUAAGUUGUUUGUUGUUUUCUUUGAGUUUGACCUUUUCGUAUUCAUGCAUGGAAAAAUGUUAGAGUUGGGGCGCGUAUUACUGAAUAAUAUAAAUAUUAAUUGAAAUUCUUUCUCAACAAUUCGAAUUAUUGAAAUAUAACGAUUCUUAACACUUGAAAUGGUUAUGAAAAUCAACUACAAAUUUCAAUUUCCAACUGUAAAUUCAGCUCAACGCAUUCAUGGUCCGAGCUCAUUAAAAAUCCUUGACUUCUGGAGCCCAUAACAUGUUAAUUUUGAUAUUUUUUCAAAAUGACUGCGUACUCUUCAUAUGUUUCCAUUUAGUUACGUAGUCUACACGUCACUCUUCGAAAUGUUAAGAAAAUAUCUGGUAAUUUCUGUUGCAUGGAUAAUGAUUUGCCACGAGCUAUGAACCGACACGUGACAGUACUUGCCAUACAGAGUACUGGAUUUGCCAUGCAUAAUCCAAUCAUCACGCUAACGUACUCCACAUAAAAGACGUGGCAGCUCGUCAGCCGUGAACUUGUUGUCACAUGGCGGUAAUUAACGUAGAGCAGUAGAAAACCAUUGUUACCGUUGACGUGUCGGCUUCCGGCAGGUCCUUUGUCUUCGUUUUGACUUUUUGAUUCCAUGCAGCCGAAAAGCGGAUCUAGACGAUGGGAUUGCAUUCAAAUUAAUGAACCUAUAGACUAUAUUACGAUUGUAACAUACCUAUGUUGUAACUAAUUAAUAAUUACUCGAAUAAAAAAGUAAAGUAACGCAAUAGGUAACGUUGUGUAUUAGUAAUUUUAUGUGUUAUGUGAGACGUGUGAGUUCAGCAUACUUAUAGAAAAAAUAAUCGUACUUAUUACAGUUUACCUUGUUCGUCGUGGUCACUAGUUUAGACUUGGUAUUCACAUUUUGAUGAUAUCGACCGUCAGAAUAAUACCAUACCACUCAGCAACAUACUAUAUAAUACUACAUAUCAUGCUCUCACUAUAGGAGACAAGAUUGUCAUAAUUUCGAGAAAAUAUCCCCUCGGUACGUAUAUAAUUUUUUUUCACAAACACCAUGUCCGGUACAAUCUCGUCGACUAUGGUAAUUAUGAAAUCACCUAUCCGGCCAUAAUGUAUAUACUAAGAUAUAUUGUAAAUUGUAGCCAUUCAUUUCACUUGAAAUUUGUACCACAAAAUAAGGAAAAAUUGGUGAAUUAAUUAAAGCGCCUUGACCUUAAGGGAAACUGUGUGCUAAAAGAUCUAAGGAAAACGUUAGAAAGCAAUAGUGACGGGUUCAGAAACCCUAAUUAUCAUGAGAGUUUGUGAUUCUAAUUUCCCAAAUCCAAUACUAAUAAAUAUGAAAAAUAUUAUGCAUUUUCAUUUUUAGUUCAAACCGAUUUUAAUGUUCCACUGAUUAUUUAUUAUAAUUAAAUUUGUUAUUGUGAUUUACAACCUAUUAAUCUAUUAUAGCUGGAUUGAUUACGGUAAUAAAUUAGUUAAAUUUGAUAGAUGACAUGGUGUAAAUAAAAAAAUAGGAGAGAAAGAGAUUGAAAUACCACUAAACAGAAUAAAAAGCAUUAAAAGUUCACAUAUGAGUUAACACUUUAGGUUAGGAAAGGAGAAAAUCGAAACUCUCAUUACAUCUCUAUAGUUCCACUCUAGCACGGAGCAUAUAUUAAAAUAGCGAUGAAUUGAAUUCGAAAAAAUCACAAAUAAAUCUGUAAAUGAUUUAGAAUCAAAAUCAAAGGUAAAACAUAAUUCAUCCGACUCUACCCGUUUCCGCCACCUCAGUAUUGACCGAUCUGUUGAGUGUUGGAUCCACAUUACUGCUAAUUUCUGAUGCACGGAUAAUGAUCAAUGGCAAGUGAUGAGCCAACACGUGGCAGUUUAGAAAUCAAAUAGUUUUCUUUUCCUCAUGCAGGCGGAUAUUAAUUAUUGGAUUAGCCAUGCAUAAUCCAAUCAUCACGCUAACGUACUAUGGAAACCUUAGCAUGACGUGGCAGUCUGGCAGAGCUCGUAAGCUUGUCGCUACGUGGCUGGUAAUUACGUUGGGAGCAAUUUACAUAAAGAAAGCAGUCGUUCUCGGUUACCUAGAUUAAGCCGCCGUCGAUGUGGCAGCUGCCGGCCGGUUAAUUGUCGUCGCUUUGACAUUCCUGCGAGAACAAUUUAGGGAUUUUGACUUUUGAACUGACGCGGUCGGAAGGGGGGUCUAGUUGACGAGAUUGCAUUCAAAUUCAUGGACGUAGGCCUACAGUAGAAAUACAUGUACACAGUACAUACGGAUAUGUGCAGUUGUGUACGGUAAUCUUGGCAAGAUUAAAACACAUAAAUAAAAGCGUUAUUUUAAUUUUCAAAUGGUGAAAUAAUUUUUGAAAUACCGGGUUGGAAAGGAGAGAGAAGAUUGUUGUUGACAAAGUCAAAGGUCAAUUACUUGGUUUCUCAGGAAAAGAAAAAGGGCCGGUCAACAAAAUGGCAACACCAAACAUAUUCCCAAAAUUUGCCUUUACACGGCCCUUUUUCGGGUUUUCACUUCUAGAAUGGACAAAUCUUUUCCCGACCCGCCGAAAUAAAUAAAAACUCGCCUAAUUCGUGAUCAUCUUAUUUAAUUACAAUCUUUUUUUAUUAACAUAAUCUUGCACAUUUAACAUGGAGUUAAAUGUGAAAUCGAGUGUGAAAUAGAGUCUAACGUGUCAGAAUUUAUAUUUAAUUAGCAAAUAUUUUUUAAACAUAUUAAAAUGUUAUUACAUGUUAUAAAUCUUGUUAUUAUAAAUAUCUAUUGUGUAACCUAUACAUUAAUCAUGAAAAUUAAUAUCAUCAUUUUUUAUUUAAGGUACUUAUAUUAGUCAUAAGAUAUUAUGUAUCAUGAGCUUAUAAAUAAUGUUCACACUCUUAUAUGUUAUAUACUUGAUUAAAAAUGCUAUUUUCCUCUCAUAUUCUUCUAUUUUUAGUUUCUUAACACGUUAUCACCACGAUUGCUCUACCCUCUCUCGAUAAUUCACAAAGAUUGUUGCUUGCUAUAUCCUAAUUUCUAUGAUUCUGUUUAUGUUUGUUUUACAUUCUNNNNNNNNNNNNNNNNNNNNNNNNNAAUAUCAACGUUACUGAUUUGUUUACAUUGUCUUACAUGAUCAGCGAAGAUAAAAGUAACUAAACGUUAUUGAAAUAUUUUAUUUGCACUGGAGUUUUGGGUUGGUUGGAGAUGAACUCAUAAACGCCUUAGAGAAGUGAAGACUAUGAAGGCGGCUAUAUCCUCUCAUAUUUUUCUAUCUUUAGUUUCUUUUGGUUCUGCUAAUCAAGGUUGGUAUAGCGUAGUUAAUAGUAUUGUGGUGGUAUUGGCGNNNNNNNNNNNNNNNNNNNNNNNNNNNNNNNNNNNNNNNNNNNNNNNNNNNNCGAUUAUAAGGUAUUUUAGGUUUUAAUUUAGUGGCACCUGUAAAUAAAUAUCUAUGUUAUGUAGUGUUUAUUUUCUUUUCCUUGUAUUAUUUUACCGAAUGUAGCGGUCUUAAUUAUUAUACACGUAUUUUUAGAAGAUCGAUCUAAUAAGUUCUACCAAGUUGAAUAUUAAUAACGCACAACAGCUCUUCUCCACCACUCUCUUAAUAGUUUUUUUUUUGGGUAAAAUAAGACGUUAAUGCAUAUUUUAAAUAUUAUUAAAAACCACAAAAUGUGAAAGAGAAAUGCUAAUUAUAUCAUAGUUCAACCAAUGGAACAGACCUCGAUCAAAUGAAUAAAAAAUAUGUAAAUCACAUCACAAGGGUAAGAGUGGCGCACGUUGGUCAAGUAAUCAGCGGUACAUUUGGCUUCGCGGUUGCGUCAACAUAAAAGUUGUAGACCAUCAAAUUAUCUUUCCAACGCCGCUGACCUUGCAUCAAUUGAACUUUCAAACACCAUAACAUGGCCCCGAGGGGAAAGAGAACCAAACAUGUAUUCAAAAACCCGACUUUGAAUACAUUUCGACACACAAAAAUAUAGUUUAUAACGAGAAAAUGUGUGUUGAAAAUACAACAUAUCAGGAAAUAUCCAACUCCCGUUGACGUUUGCAAAGUUCCUGGAACUGCAAACUAAGAAUAACAUGUUGAUGAUUAAAAGAGGAGAUAUGUAAUAGAAUUACAAGGACGGUUUUAGAAUCAGAUUGUACACGUAUUUGUCGAAUACCAAUCGAUCAAGCUAGGUCAAGGCCUUUAAUAAUGCCUGUCAUUUCCGCACGAGUAAUGGAGCAGCAACUAAUGUUAAUCGCAAAGGCUUUAACAAAAGAGCCUCCAUCAUUCCUAUUAGUUAAUACAUGAUAAGCAAACCAGCUCAACUUGUAGGAUUAAAACAAAAAAAAAACUAAAUAAUUAAGUAUGUUAAAGGUAUUCAAAACUAUUUGCUUUAUUAAAGGUAGUGGUGGAUUUAGGGAGGACCUUUCUUAGGCCACAACCAAUGCUUGUAUGAAUCUAAAGUUUUAAUAUUAUACCAUUUUUUUUUAUUUUGAAAAGAAUUAAUAUAUUUUUCAUAUAUUAUUUAGUGUAUUGCAAAUUUUAUACAAAUCGACUUAAUAUAUUAAAUUAUUCUAAAUUCGCUGUCAAUUGAAGGAUUACAUCGCGCAUGGACUAUGGGCUCGUCAACCAAACACAUUUUGUUGCUACUACUCAACUUUUUGAAAUUGCAGGUAGCCAUGAUCAUUAACAUGCAAAUUUGGGUUUUCAAUUUUAAAAUCUCCUCCGUUUUAAUUGAAAAGUUACACUUACUUACGUUUAUCGUUAAGAAAACUUUCUUAUGAACCAUUUUAUUUUGAAAGAACACAACUUUUUUUUUAAGAAACAUAACUUUGACAUAUUUAUUCCUCGAGUGCAUUUUGAAUUGUCCAUCAUCCCAACCUCAGCUGAUUCUGCAUUAAUUAUUUUAUUCGGUCUCAUAAAAAAAAUUAAUCAAAGAAUUUGAAAUGUUUAAGAUUAAUUAAGAAAAAACAAUGCACAUGGGAGUAUGAACACUCUUUUCGCAUUUUAUUAUUCCCCCGUCUCCUAAUUACCAGCACACGCCUAAAGUUUGGCUAACGUCCAAUUUCGCAGCCCCAAAUCCAAAUACGUCACCUGCUUAGCCGCCACGUGUCCCAUCAUCACUCCCCAAUAAAUACCCCUUCCCUCAAUUUUUUCCCAAUCCUUUCUUCUCCAAUCAAUAUUAACAAUAAACCUAAGAAUCUCCCAAACAAAAUCUCUUCUUCUUCUCCAAUCAUCAUUCAAUUCGAAAUAUGAGGUACGAAAAGUCACAAGAUCCGCCUCCGGCGACGACGUCGACGAACACUAAUCCCCCUAAUCGCCGGCUCAAGCUCGGUGCACUCCUGCUCCACGAAGACGCCGAGCUUAAUCGUGACAUCGCGACCGCUUCCUCAAGCUUGACUAGCACUCCGAGGGACUCGAACAGUAGCGGAACUCCCGCCGCCGCCGACCUUCUAUUCGCUUCUUCUCCUUUCUACGGCGGGGGACUACUAUCUCCAUGGAACAACAGCAACAACAACAAUCCGACGCUAUCGCCGUACUUGAAAUCGCCCUGGAUAAUCCCUUCCCCUGCUCUUCUUCCAAACAACAGCUUAAUCGGAUCGAUUGUGCGGCAGGAAGGCCACGUCUACUCUCUGGCCGCGUCUGGAGAUCUGCUCUACACCGGAUCUGACAGCAAGAACAUCCGAGUGUGGAAGAACUUGAAGGAGUUCGCCGGAUUUAAGUCGAACAGCGGGCUCGUGAAGGCGAUUGUAAUCCACGGCGAUAAGGUUUUCACCGGUCACCAGGACGGGAAAAUCCGGAUCUGGAAGGUCUCGUCGAGGAACUCGUCUUCCUACGGAAGGGUAGGGAGCUUGCCGACGUUCAAGGAUUCGCUUACGAGCUCCGUAAAUCCGAAGAACUACGUCCAGAUUCGGCGACGGAAGAACGUUUUGAAAAUCAAGCAUUACGAUGCUGUUUCGUGUAUGGCGCUGAAUCCAGAUCUCGGCCUUCUCUACUCCGGGUCCUGGGACAAGACUCUCAAGGUAUGGCGAAUCGGAGACGGUAAAAGCAACGGUAGCAGUGCUUCUAAUUACAAGUGUUUGGAGUCGAUAAACGCGCACGACGACGCGAUAAACGCGGUGGCGACGGGAUUCGAUUCUCUCGUGUUCACCGGAUCCGCGGACGGGACGGUGAAGGUGUGGAAGCGGGAGCUGGAAUCGAAAGGAAACGUUAAGCAUUUCUUAGUCCAGACGCUGCUGGAGCAGGAGAGCGCGGUGACGGCGUUGGCGGUGAGCAGCGGCGGAGGAGGAGGCGACGUCGGAUCAGAAGUGGUGUACUGCGGGUCUUCGGACGGGAUGGUGAACUUCUGGGAGAGAGAAAAACACCUCUCCCACGGCGGAGCGCUCAGGGGACACAAGAUGGCGGUUCCCGCGGCGGGGGGCUGAGGGACAAAAAGGUGGGGGUGCUCUGCCGGGCCACGGCGGGGGAAGGGUUGGUUUUCAGCGGGUCCGCCGAUAAGAGCAUCUGCGUGUGGAGGAAGGAGAGGGGUGGUGGUGGGGACCACGUCUGCCUUACGGUUUUGACGGGCCACGGUGGGCCCGUCAAGUGCUUGGCGGUUGGGAGAUCGGACGGUGAGGAGAAAGCGAAGGGUGAGGAAGAUCAACGGUGGGUGGUGUAUAGCGGGAGUCUUGAUCGGUCGGUGAAGAUUUGGCGCGUGGAUGACCACGUUCCGGAGUGGCGGGAUUAUUACCAGUCGCCUAGAUUGAGCCCUUAUGACCGUUCUCCCAGACAGUGAUGGAGACGUGGACGUAUAAAUUGUGGAUGGCGUUGGGGUGAAAGAAGCGCGGAGUUACUGUGGAGUAUAGGAGUUAGUUGGUAGUUUCCGUUUUUGAUUUUUUUGGAGGUUUGGUUGUUGAGAAAGGGACGAGGGAACCAAACCGAAUCCAUAGAGUUUUUAAUAUGGAAGAAUUCUUGGUUCGUUUCUUUGCUUAGGGAGCAAGCAAAAAUGUACAGAAGGUCAAAGUAGUCUUUUUAUCACUUACUUCCAUUUGUUGGUAAUUUUUUGUUCAUACAUAAUAAGAUUAAUGUUUCAUGAAGGCCCAAUUUAUUUAGAUUUUACUAAAAAUGACAUAAUUUAUUAAAAAUAUUUUUUAUGGUACAAAUUUUUGGUCAACCUCAACAAAAAUUUAUCAACAUUAUAUUUGACCGUCGAUUUAACAAUCAAACUUACAAUAAUAACGUCUCUGCUGGCUUGUUAUUCACAUAAGCUCCACGUCAUAUUAUAAUAAUAUUAUAAUUAAAAAAAUGAAAUCCAAAAAAAAUUAAGAUCUCCUUUGUCCCUGUUCGCUUUCCGCCUCCUACUGUAGGAAGCCAUCAACUCUUUCGUCUCCCUCUCUCGCGACGGUUCUCUCUCUCGACCUCACCCAGUCCUCGAUGAUGCCAUUUCUUGAUUUGGGAUGACUUCCACAUGCCAUUUGGGGAAGAUCCUCAAGAACCAAUGCCAGAAAUAGUAGGACUAGUGAAAGCGGUGUUUUUAGGUUGUAUUUCAAGGGUUUAGUUAGUGAGGAGAGGGUUAAUGGUCGUCGAAGCUCAAUUUUGGCUGUAUCCGUGUUGUGAUAUGGCACCCCACGGGGUAUUUGAUGAUCGAAGAGCUAAGCAGAGAAGGGAGAAAAGGGGGAUGGUGGAAAGAGAAAGCAGGUAAAAGGAGGUAGAGAGGGGAGAUGGCGAAGAAGGGAGAUAUGUGGGACUUGAGAGGAGGAAGAGAGAGGAUGUGAGUGACAAUAAACGGUGAUGGGAGGUGGGUGGUCAGGUGGAGGGGGAAUUAACGCACGUAAAUGCAUGCAUGUAUGACCAUUGAAUAUUAUUUGGAUAAGAAAACUCGAUCGCAAUGCCUUGAUGAAUAGGUUACUCCCGUACAUCAUUCAUAAUAAUAAUAAUAAAUAAUAAUAAUAAUAAUAAUAAUAAUAAUGGCGGCUAUUGGCAAGUUGCAUAUCAUUUUGGGGGAAUGGUUGGUUGCAUGAUUACCACUUAACAGAGAGACAAAAACUAAGGAGAGAGCUCAACCUCGUAUGCUUCUUUCUUUUGUUCUGUUCCAUAUUAUUACUCACCAGCAAGUUGCAUCCAAAUCAACGACUGCCCAAGAUGGGGCGGCACAAUUGGCUUUAUCAAUAGCAGAGGGACAGCAUCAAAGCAAGCGGUUGGGGUAAAUGGUGAAAUCACGCCCAUCGGAGAUUUUGAACGGAAUUUCAAAUUUAAAAGCUACAUAUGUCUACGUUUUUCAGUAAUAAUAUUAAAAUUUUAAAUACAAUCCUAUGUAUCGAAUAGCAAUAGACGAACAUAUUUGUUUUCUUUCAACUAGUAACAGAUAGAUUUUUUUAACACGUUAGUGUACUGCUUUUAGUUAAAAUGAAAUUAAAUGUGUUACCGGCGAUUUUUUCACUACAUCUGGUAUUUGAACUAAAUGUAUGUGGAUUACUUUAAUAGGUUGGUUAGAAAUUUAAAUUUAAUUGAUUAUUUAGUUUAAACAAAUAAAUAGAGGAAUAUAACUUCAAAUUCCAUUAGUCGAAUACAAAACCAUAAAAAAUUUACAUAUAUUUUAGUACUCGAGACAAGAUGAGAUAAUAGAGUCGGGAUUCUCUCUGAUUUAAAAUAACCAUAUAUAAUGACUGAGUUUCAUAUAAUGGUUCAACACUAAAUUAGUUUGGAGAUACAAUAGACAAUAUUCAGAAACAUACUACACAAGAUUCAAAAACUUACUAAUUUUAUAUAAUAAUUUGAAGCUCUAAGAAUGGGGGACGACCCUAAGUGGUGGCACGGGUUUGCCCGUCCCUAAUUUCGCCACUAAAAUGAGCCUGAGAUGUACCCUGGUUCGAGGCUUGUGGCGAAUUUUGAUUUUUUGGCUGGGUUGAGUCGGUCUCGAUUAGACUGUAUCCGGUUGGAUUUUUGGGGUGAUCGCAAAGAAUCAAAAGUCCAAAAGAUAAAAACUUGGAGCUCUAAUCAAUCAGGGACUCAAAUAGUAACCCACAAAUAACGAUUUCGAUUCAAACCGGCAAACCCGAUUUCACCGAAACCAUGUCGAAAAAUGUAAAUCUACUGAUCAGUGAACUUGGAAGGGCCUGUGGGAUCAAUACUUUCGACCCGUAUAAGAAGUUAUAUGGGCCUUAAGGCCCAACAUAAUUUUAUCUUCCACCGCCGUCCAGUCCUCCCAGCUCAACUACCACCGGAGAAACCUCAACUCAACUCUUCUUCCUCUUCGCAGCUUCCGUUACCUCUUUUCUUCAGUCUUUUCACAGCUGAAACUUCUACAAACAAAAUUCAAUAUCACUAAAAUUCGAUUCAUCUUGUCAGCGAUAUGAAGCCAAACAGACUGUUAAAAGCUCGAUUCCUUAAACUCAAUAGCUUCAAAACCUCCCCAGUUCAAUCCAGACAGAUCCCCGGUUAUCCCAAUUGCUGCCCGUUCUCCUCCGCGGCCGAAAUCGACACAGGGAGUAUUAUUCCAGCGGAAGAAGAAGCUAGCGUGGAGAAGGCGGAAGAAGGAGGAGGAGGUGAGAUCUUCAAAUUAAUACAAUCUUCUAAGUGGCAUUCCGUCGAACACCUGGCGCGCAAACUGACAUCUCCAGCUAUUUCCACUACUCUACUUUCUCUUAAGAAGAAACCGGAUUCAGCGCUCAGGUUCGUCAACUGUGUCGGAUUUGACUCUCUCGAUUUGAAAAAUAAGUGUCUUUCCGUGGCAGCGGUGUCUCAGUCGCCUUCUCCGAAGCCCAGUUUGCAAUUACUAAAGCAAACCAUUAGGAAUAAUAAUAGAGCGGCGGUGGUCGACGUUUUGGAAGUUUUUAACGAGUUGGCGAUUGCUAAGGAUGCGUUUGGGAUCGAAAGUUCGUUACUUUUCGAUUUGCUGAUCAAGACUUGCUGCGAAUUGAAAAGAGGCGAGGAUGCGUUUGUCUGUUUCGAUGCAAUGAAGGAGAAAGGUUUGAAUCCAAAAGUCGAGACGUGUAAUGAAAUGCUGAAUCUGUUUCUGAAAUCGAAUCGCACCGAGAAAGCUUGGGUUCUGUAUGCUGAAAUGUUCAGGUUAAAGAUCAAGUCGAGUGUUUACACUUUCAACAUAAUGCUUAACGUAUUGUGCAAGGAAGGCAAGCUGAAGCAAGCCAAGGAGUUCAUCCCGUUCAUGGAGAGCUUAGGGAUUAAGCCGACUGUUGUAACCUACAACACGUUAAUUCACGGGUACUGCUCGAGAGGGAGGUAUGAAGGUGCACUUUUGAUUUUUGAUCUAAUGCAGCGUAAAGGAAUCGAUCCUGAUGCGUACACGUACGGUUCCCUCAUUUCCGGGAAAUGCAAGGAAGGAAAUCUCGAUGUUGCCUCUAAACUGCUCGAGAAAAUGAAGGAAAUCGGAUUGGUUCCGAAUGCUGUUACCUACAACAUCUUGAUUGAUGGGUAUUGCAAUAAAGGCGAUCUGGAGGUGGCGUUUCGGUAUAAGGACGAGAUGAUUGGGAAGGGGAUUGUGCCGACUGUGUCUACGUACAAUCUGUUGGUUCAUGCCUUGUUGAUGGAGGCGAAAAUGGACGAAGCUGAUGAGAUGGUGAAGGAAAUGAAGGGUAAAGGGAUAGUUCCUGAUUUGAUAACUUACAACAUAUUGAUUAAUGGUUAUUCGAGAUGUAAGAAUGUUAAGAAGGCGUUCGAGCUCCACGAUGAGAUGGUGAGUUUAGGCAUUCAGCCGACGAAGGUAACUUAUACGUCACUCAUUUACGUUCUGAGUAAACGGAAAAGAAUGAAGGAAGCUGAUAACUUGUUCGACAAGAUUCUGAGACAGGGGAGGAUUCUUCCGGAUCGGAUAAUGUUCAAUGCUUUAAUCGACGGUCAUUGUUCUAGCGGGAAUAUAGACCGUGGAUUCGAAUUGUUGGAAGAGAUGGAUAGAGUGAAGUGUUUGCCCGACGAGGUGACUUACAACACCCUGAUGCAGGGGCGGUGCAGGGAGGGGAAAGUCGAAGAGGCUCGUGGAUUGAUCGAGGAGAUGAAGAACCAGGGGAUUAAACCGGAUCAUAUCAGUUACAAUACUCUGAUUAGUGGUUACAGUAAGAGAGGGGAUAUGAAGGAUGCGUUGAGGGUUCGGGAUGAGAUGGUGAGUAUAGGGUUUAAUCCGACAAGGUUAACAUAUAAUGCGCUGAUCCAAGGGUUGUGUAAGAAUCAAGAAGGGGAUCUUGCUGAGGAGCUGUUUAGGGAAAUGGCUAGCAGAGGGAUUCCUCCAGAUGAUAGUACUUACUUCUCUUUGAUUGAAGGGAUUGGGAAGGAAGUUGAGAGUUCAGAGUCAGUUCCAUGACUGGAGAAAAGUGGUAAGCUUGUUUACAGACCAUACAUGUUCUUACUGAAGAAACCAGUUUAGGCCUGAGCUGGCUGUUUCAAAUUGUUGUAUUUGUCACUGUGAUGGUUUAAAAGAGUGGGAAGAAGGGUUUGCAUCAUUUGUUGAAACCUCUGCAACAUUGCUGCAGCUCUCGAGAUGACUCCCCGAUCAAGCUUGAAAAAUGGAAACCUUAAUCUCAAUAACUUAGCCCGAAAGAACCAAGCUUAGAGCUCAAACCCAUGAGUAGACUCCAUGAGAACAUUAAACAUUCUUACAUUGACUAAUAACGUCUUGAUUCCAAUCGACUAGGGCACGAUUUCGGUCAAACCUUGGAGAAACGUCACCUAUCCAAAACCCAAAUUACAUCACAACCAAGAACCAAUCCCAAAUAUCUGAACUUGGAGCUCAAAUCCCUGGCCGCAUGACUCUUAAGUGAAACAUAAGUAAAUAAGUUCUUGAUUCAGACAUAACUAACAUAACUAAAUCCGGUAGAUAACAUAGAUGGUCCGUUUUGUUUUGGCCCCGUACGUUUCGAAACCUUUGGCCUUCAACAAACACGAUCAAACUCGAGAUAUGGAAACCAGGAUCUCAAAUCCUCCAUUGCCGGGGGAGGACUCGAUAACCUGGAAAAGGCAGACGUCCCCUUCCUUAACUGAUUCGCAUGGUAAAACUUAGUCCACUUUUUACCCAUCAUCGUCAACGAUGGUCCGGAAUGCUUCAGUUCAAUUUCAAUUCCACCCGACCCGCCGCCACCCGAAACCUUGAGAUUCAUCCGAUCCUCAUAUUUCAUCUUCAACUUUUGCACAAUUCCAGCUGGAACAGUCUGCAUAAAAUAAUUGAACAGAGAGUACGAAAACAGAGUGUGUUCUUCAAGACACGUUUUCCGUCCCGAAAUUGGUGGAAUUAAUGUAAUUUGCUUAAUCUCUUACAAUGCGGUAGGUCGUUCUGAGUUGUUGAUUGGCGGGCAUCAUCACGACGAUGAACGACGGAGUAUCGCGUCCCUUGUUGGCCAUAGCUUCUCGCAAAGCGGUCUUGCUUUCCGGAGACAUUUUGGGAAAUGUCAGGCAGUUGAAUUUGCUGGCCACUUCGAUUCCUCUCGCCGCCAAUUCAGCCAGCAAAGCCUCGCAUUCAUCCUCGCUGACGACGGCAGGUGACGGUGGUGGUGGGUAGACGAUCUCGCACGUGGACAGAUCGAAUACGCCGACGUUGAACCUCGAGCCGCCGGUGUACUCGAAAGUGAGGAAGAAAUCCUGCUUGAUGGAGUUGUCAUCCAUGAACUUGGACCACCCUCUUUUGAACCAGAGUUCCUUACGGUCUUUUCCAGCGGUUAUGCCGGUUUCGAAUACGGUGCCGUUUGGAAUGCAGAGCUGUGCGUUUGACCACUUCUUCAUCGCCAGCUUCCUCCCGUACUUCCUCGCGAACUUGAUCGGCAGGGGCUGUUGAAAAAGAGACAGAAAAAACAGAUGAUGUGAGAAAAAUGAGUUAUUCGGUUUGAUUUUACAGUUCGAUUUUAAACAAGCUGGCUUAAUAAUCUAUGAGCUAAGUUGGAGCCAACUUUGGCUCGCGACCUCAACUAUCGGCUAGAUUAAGUCUAUAGAGUUGGCUUGAUUGCCGACUUGUUAAUUGGCUAAAUUAAUAUAGCUUAUGAGUUGAUUUAAAAAAAAUUAAUGCCUAAAAAAUUCAUACUUCAUUUAAAUACACAAAAUAUGAUUUAACUUGAUUAAUUAGGACUUAAAAAAGAGCUCGUUAAAUGGAGUUAACAAUUAUUUUUUCGAACUGAAGUCGACAUGAAUUUGAGCUAACAAUAAUUUCCCCGAAAGCUCUACUCGGUUUGACCUGCCGACAGCCCUCUCAUGCAUCGAAUAAAACAGAGGAUUCAACCAAGAAGAGAAUGGGAAUGAGACUUAACGAGUUGUUUCUCUUCGAUGACACUUGGCAUGAUGAGUCGGAAGAAGUUCUCAACGCCCGUAUCUUCUACUUCGCCGGCGGCAGAGGCGCCGGACGGAGAACGGUAUGUGAUUCCGCAACAGUAGGUGUCGUAGAUCUUGACGGAGAACUUGGAAUCCCCAAAGUAGUCGAAUCGGAGGAAGAAUCCGGUGCAAAUGGAGUGUCGGCCCACUUCUCACCGAAAUAGGCCUCGUUCCCGACGCCGGUAGCAUUUCUCCUUUUCGCCACUCCGACGGUCCAAACGGCGCCGUUUGGCAGAAAGAGCUCUGCCGUUGACAAGAGCUUCGACCCGCACAGACCCACGAAGUUCUGCGGCAUAACCUACAAAGAAAAAGGUGUUUUUUUUUCGAAUGCUCAAUGAAUAGAAAAGCAGAAAGAAAGAAAGAAAGAAUGUUAGUUAAUUAGUUACCAUCUUCUUGGCUUGGAGGACAUGUGGAAGGAUGACUCUCAUGAAACUCUGUUGCGGAGGAGAGGAAACCAGAGGAGAUGAUGGAAAACUAGCUUAGUGUGAUUAAUUGAUUUGACAAACUUGCACGCUGAUACUCCAUUAGAAGCUUUGAGUACGUGGACUUACGAGCCUGCACAACUUCUGGUUUGAUUAGAUGACAAGCGAUCGAGUUCGAAAACUAGCUUGAUAAUAUUAUUCGAGUUUGACACAAUCUUCAAUGUUUCGGCUCAAACUAGAUCUCAAAUUUUAGAUAGCCGAAUAAACUAAGGAGCUAAACUCGAGCAAAGAGAUAAGCUCGAGUCGAGUUUUGAACUAUGCAAGCACUAUCUGUGUGUUCCUUUCUCAUAGAUGUGUAUGUAGGGAUGUAUAUUCGUCAGGUUAGAGUUUUCAAUUGACUCGAGUAGCAAUAUUGUCGAGCUCGAAAUUGAGUCUGACUGAAAAACAACCAAUCUCGAGGCCAAUUCUCUAACCAUCUUUAAACUAGUGUAUAAGAUCAACCAAGACACUGCCAAUUUUUUCCAACACAAACACAGAAAAACAUUUCAACAUCUAGUUCUACACAUAACUAAACCAGAGAGUCAGUUGCAUUUCCCCCCUUCAAUCAGCGGUCCUGAAGACACGAACCUUCAGCACAGUCUUCGCGUCGGAGUCGGACGGAGGAAUCAACUCGAACACACAAACGUCUCCCUCGACUAUCUUGUUGGCUGAACGAAACUGAGACCAUCCACUCAUCUGCCUCAGAUUCAUCCCAACAACCUUGUUGAACACAACCCACCAAGUACGCACCACCCGAUCUGGGUCCGCACCCUCCUCGGAGAGCUGCAGCGUCCCCUCAUCCGAAUCCCCCAAGCAAAAUUUGUUCGUAAACUUCGUUGGCAGACGCUGCACACAUUUCAAAAAACAGUUCCAGAGUAAAAACACAUAAAACAUUUUUGCAGGACAGAUUAGGGUUUAGGGUUUUGUGUAAUUAACCAUGAAUCCAGGGGAUAUGUGAUAACUCGCUAUGACCACCAGCGUAGAAAUGUUGGCCGGAUUCAUCUCCUCCAGAGCUCUCUCGAUCGCCCUCUUGCUGUUCGUAGACACCGUGUCGAAUACCAAGUGGAACUUGUUGCUCUGUACCAUAUUCUCCAUCUUCUUCAGCCGCUCCAACAGUUCUGAGGAGUCUGGGGCCGGGGCUAGUGGUGGAUAAGUUAUCUCCAUUGACGUUGAGCGCAAGAUGAAGACCUUGAGACGGGACGGCUCGAGGUACCUGUUAGAAGAACCAAACGAAAACAUUCACAAGGAUUAUCAAUCUGGACGAGUCGUUUCUUCACUUCUUUAGUUUUUAACAAAUGAUUCCACAUUUCUUCCAAACAUUACCUGAAGAGGAGGAUCUGUUUCAGAGAGAUCGAGUAGAACCUGAGGAAAUCCUCGAAUCCUGAGACGAGCCAGACUCGGUUAGGAUAUCCUUCCUCUGCCUCCAAUCCAACUGUCCAAGUUCUUCCAUCAGCAACUUCCAAUUUCAGCUCGUCGGAACCAGAGAACUCGUCCUUGAAAUUCUUCAUGAACCUCCUAGGAAGCAUCUAACAGAAAGAAGAAGAAGAAAAGUCAUCAUCUUUAAGAAGGAAGAAACACAAAGUAGCCAUCUUUUUCAAAUCAACUUACCAUUUCCUUGUCCUGAAUGGUUUUAGGCAAGAUCACCUUGAAGAAUUGCAGGAAUGGGAAGUUGGCUGCAGACAUGUUUCCUUGUUUCUGGUAAAAGGCAAAGUGAAAAUGGGAAGCUAGAUGUGUUUGGUUUCACAAGGGAGACCAGAUUAUGAAGUUGCUGCUGCUUUUAAAUGUAUCUUUGAUUCUUCAUUUGCAUUUGUCCUGCAUUUGUUGUUCAGUUGUAUUUUCUGCAGGCUGGGAUGAACUUUUUUACUGUGGUAAAUUAUAAGUAAGAGGGGUUAAAAUUAUUGGUCUUGAUUUUCUGUCUCUCUUUCUAAAUAUGGAGUUCUGUGUAAAAUUGUAGAGAAGUGACUCUCUAGCUAAUUUAAAGAAACAAUAAGUUGACUAUACACUUGGCUCAAGGUCUGACAUUUUUCAUAAUACCUGUCUGUUUGCAACUCUUUGCUUUUGCAGGUUGCUGCUCUAGUACUACUGUAGCAGUACACUUAAUGACUUGGAUAGUUGGAUAAUCUUAGGGUUUCAUAUGAUAUGAGCAGAAUCGAAUUGAAUAUUCUGCCAGCUUUGACUUGUUUAGUAUCAUAAAUAAUCUCGAGCACGGCUCGUUUGUAACCUUAAAUAAUAUCAAGCUCCACCCUUUUACACCCUUAACGAGUUCGAAUUAAUAUCGCGAGAAAAAAGAAUAUACCUUAGGAAGCAUAUAGUCUGAUCUCAACUAAAAAUUGAAAGAGGAAUAACAAUAAGCUAGAAUUAGAGUUGGGACACCAACAUAUUCACGAGCCAAUGAGCUGGCUUGUGAAUCAGUCGGACCGAAUCACCAUUGGCUCUGACUCAAUUCGUUUUAACUUUCGAGCCCGCUCGCAAACAGGUUUGUGAUCAGCCUUUUUUAUACACUUUUUAUAAAAAAGGAUUUAAGUUUUUUCAGAACAUCUCUGUAUAUUUCUAACUUGGGUAAAUGUCAGAAUAGCUUUUAGAGCAUUGCAGAGCUAGGGUUCUUAGUGAUGUGUCUGUUUUGGUGAAACAUGAUGCUGCUCUUCAAUUACACAAAUGUGCUGGCUUCUGGUUGUGAUAUCUUAUGAUAUAAAAGCUUCAGGCCUUUUAAUUAUUCUUGCUGUCCUUUGUAUUUACUUCUGCAAAAAAUUCUGCAGCUAUUUUGGAGACUUAUCUGGAAAACCCUAAUUGGUGAUUAGUUCUAGCAAUUGAAUCUUAACAUUCAUCAAGUUAGAGUUUUUAAUUGACUCAGAGCUCUACUCGUUUAGUUUCUUUUAUGAUCACAAGCUCGAUUUGAAGCUGCAAAAUAGUCGAGCCUCGAAAUCGACUCGACUGAAAAUGAACUGAUCUCGAAUUCAAUAUUUCUCUCACCGUGUCUAUCGUGAGUAUAAGUCAUCUAGGGCAUACACAAACAUAAUAGGUUUUUGAUAAUGCUGUUUUUUUAUUAUAAAAAGAUAAGUCUUUUCAGAACAUCUAUGUAGAUUUCUAACUUGGGUAAAGAUCAGAAGAGCUUGUUGUUGACAUAGUUCUUUGAAAACCAGUCUUUGUUAAUGUUCUUACUGAAGAAACCAGUUUAGUCCUGCUGAGAUGGUUGUUUAAAAUUGUCGUAUUUGUCACUGUGAUGUGAUUGAUUGAUGGUUCAAAAGAGUUUGAAGAAGGGUUUGCAUCAUUUGCUUGAACUAUGGUUUUAGGGAUCUCUUGAAUGUCUGCAACAUUGCUGCAGCUCAUCAUACCAUCAUAUCUUUCUAUCUUGUCUCGUCUCUCAUUUACUAAUGUACUUAGAUGCUGUAUAGGCUGUCUUUGUAAUAUGAUUGUUAAGAAAAAGUCCACUUUGGACCCAUCAUCGUCAACGAUGAUCCGGAAUGCUUCAGUCCGAUGUCAAAUCCACCCGACCCGCCACCCGAAACUUUGGCAUUCACUCGAUUCCCAGCUUUCAUCCUCAGCUCUUCCACAAUUCUAUUUGGAACAGUCUGCAAAAAAAAACAAAAAACGAAACAGAGUGUAAAUAAAACAGAGUGUGUGUUCUUCAUAUCCUCGACCUCCGAUUCCGACAGAAAUCCCGAAACCCGCUGGAAUUCGAAUUCGGAAAUUUUCCACCACUCCAAAUAAAAUUCGGCGGGUGGAUUAGCGGAAUUAAAUCCCAAAAUCUGUCGGAAUUAGGGAUAUCGGAAUUGGUCAUCAAAUCCGGCAAUUCCACAUCCAAUUCCGGCGCCGGACAAAAAAAAAACAAAAAGGCAGUUCCUCUCUUACAAUGCGGUAGGUCUUUUUGAGUUUUUUCCCCCGCACGGAUUCAUCACGACGAUGAAAGAAGGAACCGCGUCGUCUUCCCGCUUGUUCUUCAUCGCUUCUUGCAUAGCCCUCUUGCUUUCCGAAGAUAUUAUUGGGAAUGUCAUACAGCUGAAUUUAUUGGCCACAUGGAUUCCUCUUGCCGCCAGUUCAUCCAGCAAAGCCUCGCAUUCGCCGGCGACGACGGCCGGCGGUUGUGGUGUGUAGAGGAUCUUGGACAUGGACAGAUCGAAUAUCCGGAUGUUGAACCUCGAUUCGCCGACGUACUCGAAAGCGAGGACGAACUUCUCCUUGAUGGAGUUGUCAUCCAUGAACUUGGACCACCCUGUUUUGAACCAGAGGUCAUUGUGGUCUUUUCCUGCGGUUAUGCCGGCUUCGAAUACCGUGCCGUUCGGCAGGCAGAGCUUUGCAUUUGACCACUCCUUCAUCGCCAGCUUCCUUCCGUGCUUUGUCGCGAACUUGAUCGGCAGCGGCUGUGGAAAAAGAGGGGAAAAACAGAGGAAGCAAAAAACAGAGAAUGUGAGAAACUUCAAUAAGUAAUAACUUAUUCAGUUUGUUAAAGGAAGUGAAAAUUUAAAGAACUAGAGGUUUAAAGAAUGAAAGAAUACAGAGAUGUAAGUGAAAGAUUUAUUUGUAGUUUUUGAUUUCAUUAUUUACAAAAUUCCAGAUCCAAAAAUAUCGAUAAUUGAAGCUUAACAUGAAAACUACUUGCAGCUGCAAGGAUGCAACAACAAUGACAGGCAAAUCAACAACAAAAUAGUUAUUAAAAUCAAAAGCAAUUCAAUUUAAACGAGCUGACUCGAUAAUAUACGAGCCGAGCUCAAUUCGAAUUUGGCUCGAGCUAGCAAAGUGGCAACUAUGAGCAUAGGGGACUCAUGAAUGAAGCCACGGCGGUGGUUAACCCCAAAACGUUCUCUAGUGGUGACAGGGAGUUAAGCAUCCCUCGUCCUAGGUUCAAAAACUUGGUAAAUCACCUACCUAUGGAAGUGAGACAUUGAAGCAACUGAACUCAGCUGAGCUAGUCAAGAUCUUAUGUUGGAGUUAAGAAAGCAUUGGAAGCUAAAUGUACUAUCUCCGAUCCUUCAAAUGAGACAAGGUGCAAGGCUACUUAUCAUUUAGGAAACAACAAAGUAGCCAACUACAGUAAUAUAAUAGGAGGAUACGAGAGAACAAGAAUUUUUUGAAGCAAUUAAGAGUAGAGGGGGGAGAACUGAACUCACUUCAUGAGGAUAUCGUAAUACUCAGAGUCCAAUGAGGUCAGCAUCCCGUCCACAUCUUUGAUCGCCAUAAUCGCUCUAUGAACCACUAUCCAAUUCGCAGACUACAGCACGUAAAAGUAGAAGAGACAACUUUCUCUGCUAAUAAGUUUGGAUCGGAAGAUGAAGAACUCAUCAAAUCGUUACGGAGGAACAGAAAAAGGGAGGAAACUAACGGACCUUGCAUCGCUCAUCGCCAGUCUUGGGAGGCGAUCCUUCAAGCGCUGUCUUGAGCGCUUCCACUGGCUUGUACCUGGUCUUUCAUGGAGAAAGAGGAAUUAGAGGGAAACAGUGAAAGACGGAGGAAGAAGACGUAGGGGGUAUGUAUAUAUCUGUUGGUUUUACUGUUUGAGUAAGCUCUCGAUCUUGCGAGACUUGUGUUCGAUUCUGGUAAUGAUUGCCUCGGCGUUCUCUGCUUCCACAAAUCCGUCAGCACCGGCCAUUGUUGCUUAUUGCCAAUUGUCCAAUUUGGUUCCGUCCAGCUAUAAUUGCCAGACACCCACUUCGCCGCUCCGGUGAGAAACGGUAUAAGUUUUUUCCAAGAUCUGAACUUUGCUGACUUCAACAAAUCUGGAAAACGCUCAGAGGAAGAAGAAAAUGCUCCAGUUGCAGCUAAUCAUGGCCGUUCAUCAAAUUUAAUGGUUUUUGUUAUUCCAGUAGAUAGCAAAACGGGGCAAAAGGUAGUCGGCCUAUUGGAUUGCAAAAAGUGAAAACUAUUCGGUCAAGUUAUAUCUUAUUGUUGUGGUUGAACCGAAUCGCUCGCUCGGUUCAAAAAAUGUUAAUUUUCAAACCCAACUGGAUUUGAAUGAAUUAGUAAUGAUUGAAUUAGGAUAUACUUGACUCGGCAAGCUUGGAGGCUGAUAAGCUCGAUUAUGUGGAUUCAUAAGCCUGCAACACUUCUAACUUGUACGAGUGGUAUUUCAAGCGCGCAAAGCUCGGAUUGAGCUCAUCGAAAAUGCUUAUACCAAACCGAGCUUGAGUUGUCUCGAGUUCAGCACCAACUUUAGUGUUCCUGCUCGAACUAGACCUCAAGUGUAAGCUAUCUUAAAAAUUAACGAGCCGGACUUGAACAAAGGGAUGAGUUCGACUCAAGUUUGAACUAUGCAAGCCCUAUCCUUGUGUUUAUUUCAAGAGAUUACAAAUUGUUAUAUAAACAACAUUCUUCUACUUAUCCACAUUUUCAAAACUCAGAAACAUAACUACUGUGGCCACAUGCCCUAGAACAAGCUUAGCCUUAACUUCUAUGCACGAACUAUGUCUGACUCGUGGGUGUGCCGGAGUACAAGGUACGCGAGUUUCUGAUGGAACUCUGGAGAGCCGACUGUCCACCUCGAGAAACUGCAAAGAGGAAUCAAAUAAUUCGGUUCAGAUAACUUGUAAACUAAGCAGCGUUUAAGCAGGAACCAACUGAUGUGUUCGGUUGAGUAUGUCUAUCUUGCAGGUUCGAGAUUCGGAGAAGCUAGAGGAGCAUAAGGUCGAGAUCGAGAGUGUCUACUAGAUGGAGUCGACAUUUCGAUAUAAUCCCGGAAAGGACUAAUCCAAACCAUCUGGUAUUCGGCUCUCAAGACAAUGUGCUCCAGUUAAAGCCCCUCUCCACUUGGAAGUGCUACUGUGAAUUUCAGUAGCGGAAUGAGAGCAAAAGGAAGCUCGGACAAUUUUUGUUCCCCGAGCUUCUACAGUAGAACCCAUAACGGAAGCUGUCAGCAUGAUCGCAUACCAAAUUGGAGCAAUGGAGAUGAAAUCGAGAAGAGAUGAAGGAGAGGAAGAAAGAAGAAGAAAGGCCAUGGAUGAAAAAGAAGUUGGGGAAGGAGCUUGUUACGUUACUGAGUUUUGUAGUCACGAGGGAGUCAAGUUUUGGGCACAAAAGAUUCCUACUUUAUGAUUUUGGUUGGUUGAUGCAUCAGCAUCACAAACAACGACAAAUCAACAUUAGCCCACCAACACUACUUCUAUGGGUCCCUGGGUAAAAAGAACCUAUCUUGGUUGUGAUCUGAUGAUAUCAAAUUCUUCAGCUUUUAUGUAUUUGGUUCUGCAAAAACUCUGCAGUUUUUAGGAAUCUUAUCUGGAAAAUCCUAACUGGUGUACUUAUUGUUAGUUCUAGCAAUUGAUUUUUUAACAGCUAGUUUAGUAAUGGCUUUUGUUAUACAUAUGAUUGUGGAAGUCUUGGUUUAAACAGCCACAUCACAAUGGCAUUAUACGACUUGUCGUCUUGUCAUUAGGGACUGGUUUAGUUGAUGUGGAAUGAAAAAAGAACCCAUCAUCCUAUUUUGUUAAAAAUAAAUGAUCUUGCAAGUUUAGGAGAUGGAAUAAAUUGAUUAAAGGAAUGAGCCCUAAUCAUUUGUGGAAAACCAUAGCAAAAACCGAAUCAGUUGACAGAUUUCAGUUUCGGUUAGUGAUUAUGCAACCGAAUUGGAAACGGAGUAGUUGAGCUCCGCUGAUUCCUUCAAGGAUUAGCUUUUUGAAGAAGAAGAAUUCAAGGAUUAGUUGAUAACUACAUAUAACUAGUUAUCUUACACAAAAAUAACAGAUCUGGAAAACCAGCCAUGAACAGAUAUUGAUACUAAGAAUCAUCAACUCAAGAUCUGUUUGGUUCUGAUCCAGCUUGAAGUUGGCUUGACUGGAACAAUCUAUUUACAGCCCUAGUGUCUCAAGCUCACAAACAGAAACAAUAGAUUAAGAAAAAACAGCAUCCUAAAGAAGAAUUGGAUCUGAAAAUGGAGGAAAGGAUUCUUCUUUUAUAGACAAAUCAUCAACCAGUUGGACUCUCGAUCAGCAGCGGAAUCUAGUGUCGACCAGCAGCUGCUGCGGGCGGAGGAGGAAUAGGCAUCCGAUGGUGGUUCAGGUUCAUGUAGCCUGCAGAACUGUCCAUGACUCGGAACACGGUCACUUUCAGAACAACAUCCCUCGACUUGAGCAUCUCGAAAACACACACAUCUCCUUCCCCGAUGUUGUUCUCCAACGUGAACUCAUACCAUCCUUGGCUUAGUUUCGCUCUACCUCCCUUGUAGAGACACCGGACGGGCCACUGUUUCCCGUCGGUGAACUGGAGCUUGAUGAACCCUGAAACGCCGUUCAGAUUCUUCUCCGCGAAGCUGGAUGGUAGAUACUGGCAAAAGAAAUCGAACGGAACUUUUUAUAAAGUCACAAGCUUUAUCAGUCAAAAUGAGUAAAGUCAGCAAGCUUUAUCAGUCAAAAUGAGUAAAGUCGCAAGCUUUGUCAUAAGCUAUAUCAGUCAAAAUGAGUAAAGUCGCAAGGUUUAUCAGUGCAAUGACUUAAAAACAAUGGUGUCUAGUUGGCUGGCUCACCAUGAUGCAGCCCCUGUACAAAUAAGACGGUCGCAACACAACCCGGCAGAAAGGAUUUUCGGGCUCGAACAUUUUGGCUGCACUUAUAGCUCUUUCCCUCUCUUCAGCAGUCACCGUUCGCUUUCUCGCAGAUGCACUUUCAUAGAAUCUAAACUUCAUUUCUCCAUCCUCUUGGGGCCUUGCAGCUGAGGCCUGCUCCUCAUCUGCAGCUUUUUUCAUUCAGGAGAGAGACUUAAUAACAGAUUUUUGAAACCAAGAUUCAGUUGAUAGAAAGAUUCAGUGAAAAGAUUCUCCUGAAACUUACUAGGAUCGGGUUUUUUCCUUUUUCUUCCGCGCUUCUUAGGAACCUUAGCUGGUGGUGCAGCAUCUGAAGAAGCAUUCUGUUGAUGAUCAAAUGCAUUGACCUGAAGAUUCGGUUCCACAACAGGUUGACUUGCUGGCUGCGGAACGUUGUUGACUCUCGACAAAUGUGCAUUGUUCGCUUCAUAAUAUAUAUAUUGCAGUCAGAAAGUCAAUCAUUAGUUCUCACGUGCAUAUCUGUUGGAAAAUUGAAAAAGUACCAACCUUUCAUUGCGUAAGGAACUUGGUAAACGGGGACGGAGUUCAAGUAUUCGGAGGAGUCCUCGUCGUCCAGAGUGUCAAAAAGAAGGCAUCUUUUCCCACUGAGAGUGUUAGUUUGAUAGUUUAUCUCAGAGGCAGACAAAUUGAACAUAUGAACAUUGAAGAUUGCAUUUCCUUCGUAUCUGAAAACCAGCAAGUAGCCAACACGAAUCGAGUAACUCUCGACAAAGUCAUUCCACCCAUCAUGAAACCAAAACUUGUCGUCAGCUUUUACUAUUCCUAUGCGCCACACAUGACCGUCAGGGACAGUCAGUCUCACAAGAUGGGUGAGGUCAUUUGCAAAUUUCUUGAUAAAAUUAUCUGGGAUCCUCUGCAUGCAGCUAAAUGUUAGGUUAGGUCCCAUUUUUCUAACAAAGUUUAGCAUAAUCAUUGACAACCUUAUGUUAAAGAAACUAACUUUUUGCCACACGAAACACAAAAGGCAUUUCGGAAAAGCAAUCACAUGAAGGCAGUAGAGUUGUGCACCAAACUAUAUGGGAUAACAUCGAUGUAACAAAAAAUGAAAGACUUCUAUGCAGUAAAUGAUGGACGAUGUAAGCAUAAUCAUAGCUAACUUUUCAGAAGAUGAGAACAAAGGCAUUAGAGGCAAGAGAAGCAUAUCAAGUGAAGUUAUGGAAGAAAAUCAAUUGGAUGCAGGGCAUAGUAUACCUAUGCACCAAACUAAAAGGGAUAACAUUCAUUUAACGAAAGCUGAAAGACUAUAUGUGCAGUAAAACUCGUACUCAAACGAUGGAUGAUUCUAACUUACUAAGCAUGUCUGGAAUCAGAACACUCAAUUCAAACACGACCCUCAACUCGAUUAAGUAAUCACUUGCAACCUUGUAUUCAUCACCAACUUUUCGACACACAGAAAAAGAAGGAAUUUGGGAAAAGGUUUUGCAUAUCAACUAUCAAGUGACAGAUAUGGAAGCACCGAACGAAGAAGGAUAGCAUUUGCUGUAAUGAAACCUGAAAGACUUCCUAGCAACAAUGCUUACCAAAGCAUAUUUCGGAUCAAAACACUUGAUUCACACACGAUUCUCAUCUCAAUUAGGUACACAUAGGACAAGUCUGAACAGAACGGCAGGUUAGUCGAAGUCCCAAAACAGACUGCAACUAUCACCAAAGUGCAACUUAUAGAAUUCAAGACUUUUGAGAUCAGAUAAACAAAGUGCAACAUACAACUAGCAUAUCUGAUAAGUUUUGAAAAUGACUGCAAGUUAGGUGAGUCACAAGUACAUUCAUCUGCCAUCAAACAAAGCAAAUUGCAAGUCAAGGAAUCCAAGACAUUUGAGAUCAUAAAACUUAGCAGCAACCACAUCCCCACAGCCAACAAAAGAGGCCUUUUUCUUCUUCUUUUCAAAAACCCUAAUCAACAAAAUCCACCAAAGAAAAACACACCACUUCCAUACCGCACUCAUCAAAGUCUCAAGCUUUCCCCCAAACCCAAAACAAUCAAGACUCCACAGUCCAAACCAGCUGACACUGACAAACAGAAUCUCAUCACAUAGAGCAAACAAGCCAAGCAAUUGAAAGGUGGAAGUAAAAGGGACGGAGAGAGAAAGAGAGAGAGAGAGGGAAAGAGAGAAUUAGGGAUUGUUUACCAGCUUCCUGCCCUGAAGAGUUCUGGGGAGAAUUAUCUUGUGGAAGUAAGGCCUUGACGGCAUAAUUUCUUUUUGGUGUUAUUUCGGCGACUUUAUUGGGUGGGUUGUAAUUAUAGUGAUGGAGAAGUGAAGAAAGAUAGCGAGAGGGGGAAAUGGGUCAAUCAGAUCAUGAUGAUAAGACCACCAGCCCCAAUCUGAAAGAGAAAGGCGACAGAAAGAAAGAAAAGAGAAAGAUAUUGAAAGUUUUUGUCUCAGAUCUACAGCAGCUGCUCCAUCACCAAUAACUACUCUUCUUCCUCCUCCUCUCUCACUUUACAGAGUUACAGUCAAAGAACAGUGCUUUGCUACUGCUACUGCUACUGCUUUAAAAACCUUAACAAACGUUAGCUUGACCUAAAAAAAAGUAGUUGAACGAGUUGAGUUUUGCUUUCCCUGGCCUGGUUUUUGGUUUUUCCAAGCGACUCAGUUGGCUGACUCGGAUAUCAGAAUCCCUUGCAUAAAUUUAUUGAUUAAUUGAUUGAUGUCUUCUUGUGUUAUUUUCUUCUUCUUGGUGGGGGGGGGUUGCUUUUUGUUUUUAUUUUUUAAUCAUUUUCUUGUGUUUAUCCUCGUGACUUGCACGUGCAAUCUGGUACAACAGCCGGGUCGGACUUUGGUUGGACGGUUGACUCAAAUGCUAUGACAAAAUUCUGCGGGCCUCGGAUGCUACUUCAAGUCCGGGUACACUCUCUAUUUACACUGAUUCUGUCGAAUUAACAGGUUGCUCAACUCUUUGAAUGUUGCCUCCUUCUCACUGUCAUUCUACAAAAGCUGAAAGCCUAUAUGCACAGUAAAACCGGUACUCAAACGAUGGAUGAUUCUAACUUACUAAGCAUGUCUGGAAUCAGAACACUCAAUUCAAACACGACCCUCAACUCGAUUAAGUAAUCACUUGCAACCUUGUAUUCAUCACCAACUUUUCGACACACAGAAAAAGAAGGAAUUUGGGAAAAGGUUUUGCAUAUCAACUAUCACCAAAGGCAUAAGAGGAAGAGAAGCAUUUCAAGUGAAGUUAUGGAAGAAAAGCAAUCGGAUGCAGGGCAAAGUAUACCUAUGCACCAAACUAAAAGAGAUAACAUUCAUUUAACGAAAGCUGAAAGACUAUAUGCACAGUAAAACCGGUACUCAAACGAUGGAUGAUUCUAACUUACUAAGCAUGUCUGGAAUCAGAACACUCAAUUCAAACACGACCCUCAACUCGAUUAAGUAAUCACUUGCAACCUUGUAUUCAUCACCAACUUUUCGACACACAGAAAAAGAAGGAAUUUGGGAAAAGGUUUUGCAUAUCAACUAUCACCAAAGGCAUAAGAGGAAGAGAAGCAUUUCAAGUGAAGUUAUGGAAGAAAAGCAAUCGGAUGCAGGGCAAAGUAUACCUAUGCACCAAACUAAAAGAGAUAACAUUCAUUUAACGAAAGCUGAAAGACUAUAUGCACAGUAAAACCGGUACUCAAACGAUGGAUGAUUCUAACUUACUAAGCAUGUCUGGAAUCAGAACACUCAAUUCAAACACGACCCUCAACUCGAUUAAGUAAUCACUUGCAACCUUGUAUUCAUCACCAACUUUUCGACACACAGAAAAAGAAGGAAUUUGGGAAAAGGUUUUGCAUAUCAACUAUCAAGUGACAGAUAUGGAAGCACCGAACGAAGAAGGAUAGCAUUUGCUGUAAUGAAACCUGAAAGACUUCCUAGCAACAAUGCUUACCAAAGCAUAUUUCGGAUCAAAACACUUGAUUCACACACGAUUCUCAUCUCAAUUAGGUACACAUAGGACAAGUCUGAACAGAACGGCAGGUUAGUCGAAGUCCCAAAACAGACUGCAACUAUCACCAAAGUGCAACUUAUAGAAUUCAAGACUUUUGAGAUCAGAUAAACAAAGUGCAACAUACAACUAGCAUAUCUGAUAAGUUUUGAAAAUGACUGCAAGUUAGGUGAGUCACAAGUACAUUCAUCUGCCAUCAAACAAAGCAAAUUGCAAGUCAAGGAAUCCAAGACAUUUGAGAUCAUAAAACUUAGCAGCAACCACAUCCCCACAGCCAACAAAAGAGGCCUUUUUCUUCUUCUUUUCAAAAACCCUAAUCAACAAAAUCCACCAAAGAAAAACACACCACUUCCAUACCGCACUCAUCAAAGUCUCAAGCUUUCCCCCAAACCCAAAACAAUCAAGACUCCACAGUCCAAACCAGCUGACACUGACAAACAGAAUCUCAUCACAUAGAGCAAACAAGCCAAGCAAUUGAAAGGUGGAAGUAAAAGGGACGGAGAGAGAAAGAGAGAGAGAGAGGGAAAGAGAGAAUUAGGGAUUGUUUACCAGCUUCCUGCCCUGAAGAGUUCUGGGGAGAAUUAUCUUGUGGAAGUAAGGCCUUGACGGCAUAAUUUCUUUUUGGUGUUAUUUCGGCGACUUUAUUGGGUGGGUUGUAAUUAUAGUGAUGGAGAAGUGAAGAAAGAUAGCGAGAGGGGGAAAUGGGUCAAUCAGAUCAUGAUGAUAAGACCACCAGCCCCAAUCUGAAAGAGAAAGGCGACAGAAAGAAAGAAAAGAGAAAGAUAUUGAAAGUUUUUGUCUCAGAUCUACAGCAGCUGCUCCAUCACCAAUAACUACUCUUCUUCCUCCUCCUCUCUCACUUUACAGAGUUACAGUCAAAGAACAGUGCUUUGCUACUGCUACUGCUACUGCUUUAAAAACCUUAACAAACGUUAGCUUGACCUAAAAAAAAGUAGUUGAACGAGUUGAGUUUUGCUUUCCCUGGCCUGGUUUUUGGUUUUUCCAAGCGACUCAGUUGGCUGACUCGGAUAUCAGAAUCCCUUGCAUUAAUGUAUUGAUUAAUUGAUUGAUGUCUUCUUGUGUUAUUUUCUUCUUCUUGGUGGGGGGGGGUUGCUUUUUGUUUUUAUUUUUUAAUCAUUUUCUUGUGUUUAUCCUCGUGACUUGCACGUGCAAUCUGGUACAACAGCCGGGUCGGACUUUGGUUGGACGGUUGACUCAAAUGCUAUGACAAAAUUCUGCGGGCCUCGGAUGCUACUUCAAGUCCGGGUACACUCUCUAUUUACACUGAUUCUGUCGAAUUAACAGGUUGCUCAACUCUUUGAAUGUUGCCUCCUUCUCACUGUCAUUCUUUCUGUAUUGCCGCUUAUUCAGUUGCAUGAGGGCUCUUUAUUAUCCUCACAUUAGACGAAAUGUCGCUCCCUUCUCACUGUCAUUCUUUCCGUUUCCAUUUUAUAUGUACCUAGUCGGAAUAAUUAUACCGCACAUUCAAUGACAAAGAACUGGUUCUUCAUUAUCCUGACAUUAGUGAUCGUUGUUUACAUACCGGCACUACUACCGGACUGUAAAUUGGAAAAUGGUGAAACAUUUUAAUUGAAUAAAAAAAUAAAAUUAAUAAUAUGCCUGUCGUUAACUUGUAAAACAGAAGGAGAUAUUCACAACAUUGAUCUCCUCUUCUAUACAAAACUGAAACAAACUCAAGAAAAGAAUGUACAUCUCUGUACAUGCCAAAACUGAACCAACUCCUCACCAUCGGCGAGCAAACUAGUUUGUAGAAUCCGACGCCACGAACGGUAUCAUGGACCAGUUGUUUCGUAUAGACAGGAACGAGUGCUUUUUGAUGUCAAAAGACGAACUCUGUUGUUGGUUGCGGCCAGAAGGUUCGAGAACAGCACCCCUCUCCAUGGAUGUCAUCAUGGAGAUUUUGUCAACCUAGAUGAGUCAGGCAUUGUCCUAUGCGGGGUUUUGUACAGGCAUCUUCUCGUGAAGCUCGCGCAGGAGGUCUCGAAGCUCGGGGAACACAGUCACGAGUAAUAGUUCGAGGAUCGCAAAUGCAAGUUGCUUUAUGCAGAUGGUAGACUGCAUUUUGUACGGAUCGAGUGACGAGCAAGCAACAGCCGUAACAUGGAUUAAGAAGAAGAAAAUUCGAAAAGAGGAUCAAACCUGAGUGAAGUAAUAGAUAUCUCUUGCGCAUCGCCUGUAUUGCUUAGCCCCGAUCAAACUCACUAAGGCUGUUGGAACUCCAUCUGAUGAACACAAAAGGAAGAAGAAAAGCUUUCAUUUCCAGGCAUUACGUUCCAAAAUGCGCGCAAAGGAUUUCCAAUUCGGUCAAAGCCACAUCAGAAACUCGAUCGAGAAGCAUAAAAGAUUGAAGAAUUUGUUACUUCUUACCGAAGAGUGUUUUCCUGAUGUAAUUUGCUCUGCGAGAAGCUUCGAGCUGUUCCUCGAACGUGCUCUGCUUAGGCCCCUUGCUACCACCAAACUGUCCCAGCUGAAAUGAAUUAAGGUUUUGUUGAGGUUCAUCGGCUUUGCAAUGAGGAACCCCGAUUUUUGUAAAGAAAAUUCCAUUCGGCCAGAGAAACUGAAAAAAGAAACGUAUUCCGUCAUUAGGUUACAGAGAGACUGCCAAAGGAGAACGUAUAAUCUCCAUUGCUGCUAACCAAUGACUUACAUCUUGCACCCAGCUGAUUCCUAAAGCUAUAGUCUCCUCUCUCCGAAGCCAAUAGAUCUGUCCCAAGAGCCAGUCGUCGAUGGCAUCUUCCAUCAUCAACUGUACUAUCUGCUUCGAUAUCCAAAAUACCUGUCUCCUGAAACGACGAAUUCACGCCUUGACAUGAGUUAUAUGAGAGCCCUACAUUUCUCAACCUGUUGUUCCUCUUUGCAAGACUCAAAAGGUGGGAAUUUGAACAAACGAAUUCGGUAUGCCGGAACAAGAAUACAAGAUGAAGGUAAUCAAUCAUCGUAACAGACAGACAAAUUUGAUAAAUGUGGAAAUGAUUAGCUAACCUCAGCCAGCCUCUUCUCUUGAGCUGAAACACCUUGUCAACUAGGUUCAACAGGGGCACACUUACGUUAGGUGGCGUCCACUAGAAGAAAGAGAGAAAAGGAUUAUGAGUUCAGUAAAAUCAACCCUGGAAAACAAUCAAACUAUCUACUAAGAUUUUUACAGUAGAUAUUCCAUUUUAAACGCAUGAAGCAAAACCCAAAUACAACUAAAGCCAGCUAUACCGAUAAACAUUUACUAAUUACUAAUCGUAGCCGUAGUGUUCAGGUCUACUCCAACAAAUAACAUGGUAGCAACGUCAAACCAGAAAAGAAAUUGAUCUAUGCGAUCCUCCAAAUUAGGUAGUCAAAAUGCUGCCAGACACGUACCUCAGGUGGCAUGCCAACUGGAUCCUCGACACGAGAAGAGAUUAGGGCCGAAUUAACUGCUGAGGGCCGACCUUCAUUACUACCAUCAGAUUCCAUGACAGAAUCAUCAUUUUGCUUUAAAUUUAAGCUCCUGGACAUCUCAUCCUGUUUGACUAGUCGACCAGGGGAAGUACUUGAGUCCACUUCAUUAUCUGAAUGCCACCCACUAGCUUGUGCACCAGGUCCGACAUCCUCUUGGUCAUGGUUUUCUUGCUGUUGAGUUUCAUCAUUGUCGGAAGAGGUAUUUUUAGUACCCAUGGUAUUUUGCCUACAUACCACCUUACUUGAGUCAUCUACAUUCCAAGGCGAAUUCCUGUUGUAUCUUGGUGAACUGCUUUCAUCAAAUUGAGAAGCUGAACUGCCGGCUUUACGUCCCCAGCCACCAGAAACGCCUUUAAAUUGACGCAUAAUGUCGUCCACGGCAUCGUCCAUAUUGACUGCUUUUCCAAAGGCAAUCAAGUGAGAAAAUAGGAAUGACUUAAAUAAACCCAUCAACCUUUUUGUAAUCAUUUGGAUGCAUUGACAAAAGAACUCUGACACUAAUAGAGAUUGAUGAUGAUCAUACAAUUUGAACAUACAUAGGCUACAUUCGGUUCUAUAAAACCCUAAUCAUUCCUUCUUAACUUUCCCUUAAUGUAAUAGAUUUUAACCUCUUUUCGGACUCCUUUCACAGUUGCUCCCUAAUCUAGAGGCCCAUUUUCCCUCAAGGAUCAGUGGCAGUGAAGCUGAGAAUAAAUACAAUGGCUAAAGAGGAAACAAGAUCCCAGAUAAAUCACAUACCUGCUAGAGUUUUCAUUACUGAAGAAGAUCUUCCAAAAGAGUAAUUCUACGGAAAUUUUGAAAGCAGAAUUAGAAGUUGAACAGGGGAAAAUAAGGCAGCAAAGAAAACUAACCACAAUAAGAAAGACAACAACUUGUGAGAACAAACGGCAUACCUUGGAGGCAGCACUUAAAAAAUCCCAAACUUCAUGCUGCUCAGCCACAUUAGCUAUAGACAAUAGAUCCUAUAAAACAUAUGCGCUCGAUUAAGUAUCAACGUCAAGUAAAGACUUACAAUAAAAAAAUAAAUGUCAAAGGCUAGAGACAAAGACAACAGUACCUGGAGAUAUUUAUCAAGCUGAAUACAGCGUUGAUGGACGAAAGCAUCCUCUGUGCUUGAAGAGAAGAUUCUUUUUGGAGGCAAAUGCAAUGUAUAGUUUGGUAUCUCUUUAAGCUGUCUGUGCAACCUCUCAAAAUUACUAUAUCUGUAGACAACAAAAAUUGGUGAGAAGAUGUUCAUGACUAAGAGAAGAAAAACAAAACCAACAACAUAAAUUAUACACAGAUUUUACUCUGGUGUCUUAAUAAAAUUCUAGAAAUUCAGAAAUAAUAGUUUGAACCAGCAUCAAGGGGUAGGCUGAAUAGAAAGACACCUUCUCUUUACAAACCAAGUUCUCUGAUCCGCAUCCGUUACUGCUAUCGAAUAAACUGCAAAGGACUUUGACCCAAGCUUUUCAAAGUAUGCUCCCAUGACCUGUCCGAACAUAAUCAACAAAGACGGUAUGGUCAGUAUGCCUCGGGAGUCAUUUUCAAUCUCUCAAACUUUUUCAUCAAGGAAUAUCGAAUACAUACCCUGGACCUGAGCUUUGGAACAUUAGUCGCAUCACUGUGUAACACUAUAUCAGGAAUGAUCUUAACAGCAGGAUCCGAAGCAUGCCCAACAAAAUCUUCACUGUAGUACUCUGAAAUAAUAGAACCUCCAUGUUCUCCUUCUAAUGCCAUCUUCUUUUCAGGCUGGUCUUUCAGAGCAGAAGUGCUAUUUGACCGCUUCAGCUUACCCCCACUUUCAUUCGUAAGAGGUUUGGAAGUCUUGAAUCCAUCGACGAUAUCAGCGCCAAGAGAAUACUCACUACUCUGACCUGCUAUAAAAUGUUCUUCAUUUCUCUUUUCAAUGACUACAGAAUUUUUUCAGGUGUGAGAACUUCAGUUCUUCUCUGUGUUGCAGCCUCUAGCAUCUUCCCCCAAACGGCAUGGCGUGGAGAGUCUGGGUGAUCUACACCAUCAUCCAUUGAGGUGUCUUCAUGAGUUCUAGACUUAGUUGGAGUUAUGGCACUAGUAGGAUCCAGUGUAGAGCAUUUCUGCGAGACAGAUGCUCCACUGUUUGCAAACCCACUGGCCUGAUCAUUUCCUGUGUUCAUUGGGUUGUUAUCUAUAACGGCAAGCAAGAUUAAUUCAAUCACCUCAUUGAUAUACCUGUUUUCAGGAAAUAACAGGAGUUAUACUCUUUUAAUAGAAAGUCGUUUAUACAUGAAAGCUGGAUGAGAAACCAUGAAUGAUGAAUAUGAAAGAAGCUUCCUAGAGAUGAGAAACAAAAGAAAAUUUUACUUACACGGGGCUUGCAAGAUUCAAAACUGGUUGCAUUACCAAGCAAGUAACAAUCUCUCUGGCAAUAGUCCGCACCAAGGGGGAUUGAGCUUCUCGUGGUCUUAACACUACUGCUAAAACGCCAGACAUUAUCCGCUGAAGAACCUUUGGGAAGAUGAAGAAAGGAAAGCAUUAACAUUAAUGAAUACAAACCAUGAAAUAGAAACAGGAAAUCGAAAAGGACACACUCACACCUUAUACUCACUCUCUGGAGAUAUCAAAGCUGGAUGGAGCUCAUUUGAUUCCAUUAGAUGAUGUUUCAGCCUUUCAUCUCGCUCCUCAGUUGAGAGAGUUCUCAUUACAUCAACACCAAUUGCUGCUUGAUUCCGUCUAAAGAGAUCCAAGUGAUCACCUAUUAAAUCAAGUAUAUCCCUGCAAAACAAUCACUCAUCAAAUUCCACCCUCAAAUCCCGACAGCCCCAAAUUAUCACCUCAGGCAUCAUAUGAAAUUAAGAAUACCUUGUAAGCAUAUCAACAACGUUAAUCUCUUUAACUCUCCCCGAUAUCUCACCAAGGGCAUCCAUUAUCACUCCACGUAUCAACUCUGGGGCAUCCUUGUCAGGCGUAAUUUCAGAGUACCAGAGAUCAACCACAAAGUCCUUCAUUAUCUUAUCAAUAAAGUCAUUGACUGAAGCCUCCACCACAGGUGAAUCAAUCUUCCUCCUCCAUCUCGGUGGAGGCGGUGCAGAAGAAAGCCGCGAAUCAUUCACGGAUAAUUGCUUCUUUUCCAAAUGAGACAGAUACGAUUGUGGCCGGACUAAGUUGCGUGGCUUCCAGUAAAACUCCACUUCGUUAGACAGUAUCCGCAAUGCAGCAACAAUGAGGAUUGAUAUUGGAAGGUUAAUCCACAUCGACGAACUCGUAUCUGCAACGAAUCGAACAUAAUUUAAGCAUUUUAACACAUCAGAACCUAAUAAUCCAGUUUAAUGAAUCGCACGGCAAUGAAUUGUGUCACCAAGUAAACAAAACACAGCGUUGCCAUUUCCACGUUCAUCACAUAAUGAUAAGUCCAAGUCCAAACAAUUUAUCCAAUGCCGAAUCAGAAUCCAAUACAGAACAGAAGCAAAAGGCGGAUUGUAACUCACGAGAUAAGAAGUAAGUAAUGGUGAAGAUGCACAACGCCCACCACACCGUCCGAACCUUGGCUUCCUCGAUCAGAUCUUCAAUUGUCUCCAUCGACUUCAUAUUUUUUCCUUCUAACUUAAUAAAUUACCUAUCUCUAAACCCUAAUCUAUCAUCCGACCUCUGAUUCUACUACGAACCUGAGAGAGGAGAGAAGAAAAGGAAGGAUCCACGGAACAAUUCCGUUGACCGCAAUUGAGAUCCAGAGAUCGGCAGUUGAGAAGUUCGUUUGCAGCUACAAAUUUCUACCGCCUGGAAAUUUAAAAUCGAGAGAGAGGGUGUAAUUAUUUUUGUUUCGGUCGAAUUUGCCGCCAGCUCGCCGCCACGGUGGCGCUCCCCGGGAAAAGGUGUUCUGGGCUGUAAUUUGUUCCUUUCUCUUCUUUUCCAAUUUUUCUUUUUUGUGAAAUUUGACUUUCUUUGUGUGAAAUUUGUUCUAUUUUGUGGUCAUUGUAAAUUAAUUAAAAAAAUAACUUUUCCUACCUAAAAAAAUUAACAAGUGACACGAUACAUUACACACAAAUAUAAUAAUUGUUUAGCUGAUGCAGCUUAAAUUAUUAUUUCAAAAAUAUCUACUUCAAAUUCAGUUAUUUUACAAACCACAUAUCGUUUAUUUUUUUCUAUCUUCUUACUUUGUUGAUUUUUAGAAAAUAUGCAAUAAUAAGUUAAAAUAUUAGACCUUUUACCAUAUAUAAAGGAAAUAUAUAUGGUUAUUUGUGAAAAUAUAUAUACGGUAUAUUUAUUAUAUAAAUUUGUACAUGUUCUUUAACAAUAGUUCAAUUUAUUUCAAAAUUUUUGCUAAAUAUAGACAGAUAACAACAUGAGUAAAGCACCCAUCACAUAAAAUGUUGACUUUUUUAUGAUAUGGAUGUACAAUUAGAACUUUUGAGUUUCGAUUAUCAACGUAUAUGAAUUGUUUAGUAAUUUCAACACCUUAAGACUCCUAAUAAUUGAGAAAUUUCUUUUGAGCAUGUUUAUCGAAAAAAUAAUAUUAUAUGGCGAACUAUCUUGCCAACUUGGAAGUUGAGACAUACACAGUUAAAGUAAGACACUCAUGCAUGUGUUUAUCCACGUAUAAAUUUAUAGAUUUUCUUUAACAAGAACUUAACUUGUUUCACAAGUUUCGUUUCCCAAUUUCGUUUCCAGCCACAUACACAUAGAUAGAAAAAUUAAUUAGAUAACCUAAAUCCACCAAAUGAUCAUCCCAACGGUUAUAGCCAAGCAGACCAACAUCCAUUUCAUGUCAAUGUUACAGUGUUGGAUUACCAAAAAUUGACGACAAAAUUAGUAAAAUUCAUACCUUUACACAUAUCCAUCGCUUACCGGGUGAUUAUAUACGCAAUAAUCGCCAAAAAUCAAGUAAAAUACAUAGGGUAACACAUAUCCAUCGAUAAAUCGGGUUAUUAUAUACACAAUUAUCGUAACUCAUAAAAUCAAAGCCAACACAUCAUCAACAACAAGACCAUCCUUCAAACCGUAGAGCUACUCUAUAUUCACAUAUACCUACCCUAACUAUAAAUCGAAAAACCACCACCAUUUUUCGAUCAAUAAUCAAUCGGUCUCAUGGUCAGGCCGGGGAGUGUACCAAGCAGGAAACCUGCUCCUAGCUCUGAGCAACCUGGUAUGCGGAGUAUCAGGCAUUCUAGCUUCCUCUUCCUCGUCGAUCUCCUCCUGCGGCCUCGGCAGCCCGUCCGGGAUCGGGCAUUCUUCCUUCAUCGUCUUCAAGCUUCCUCCUUGCUGAAGAAAAGAGGUGCUGCCACCAUUGUUGUCUGUACUGGUGAGUCUUUUGUAGUUGCUAAACAUUGGUGUCAUGCUGUGUAGGUAGGAGAUCAAGGUUUUCACCCCGCC
rnacentral:lncRNA from 1 species